rnacentral:rRNA from 1 species
GCCGAGAGGUGAAAUGAGUUUCGCCUGAGGAUGAGCUCGCGUCUGAUUAGCUAGUUGGUGGGGUAAGAGCCUACCAAGGCGACGAUCAGUAGCUGGUCUGAGAGGAUGAUCAGCCACACUGGGACUGAGACACGGCCCAGACUCCUACGGGAGGCAGCAGUGGGGAAUUUUCCGCAAUGGGCGAAAGCCUGACGGAGCAACGCCGCGUGAGGGAUGAAGGCCUCUGGGCUGUAAACCUCUUUUCUCAAGGAAGAAGAUCUGACGGUACUUGAGGAAUAAGCCACGGCUAAUUCCGUGCCAGCAGCCGCGGUAAUACGGGAGUGGCAAGCGUUAUCCGGAAUUAUUGGGCGUAAAGCGUCCGCAGGCGGCCUUGUAAGUCUGUCGUUAAAGCAUGGAGCUUAACUCCAUUUGAGCGAUGGAAACUACAAGGCUUGAGUGUGGUAGGGGCAGAGGGAAUUCCCGGUGUAGCGGUGAAAUGCGUAGAUAUCGGGAAGAACACCAGUGGCGAAGGCGCUCUGCUGGGCCAUAACUGACGCUCAUGGACGAAAGCCAGGGGAGCGAAAGGGAUUAGAUACCCCUGUAGUCCUGGCCGUAAACGAUGAACACUAGGUGUCGGGGGAAUCGACCCCCUCGGUGUCGUAGCCAACGCGUUAAGUGUUCCGCCUGGGGAGUACGCACGCAAGUGUGAAACUCAAAGGAAUUGACGGGGGCCCGCACAAGCGGUGGAGUAUGUGGUUUAAUCCGAUGCAACGCGAAGAACCUUACCAGGGUUUGACAUCCUGCGAAUCCCUUGGAAACGGGGGAGUGCCUUCGGGAGCGCAGAGACAGGUGGUGCAUGGCUGUCGUCAGCUCGUGUCGUGAGAUGUUGGGUUAAGUCCCGCAACGAGCGCAACCCACGUCGUUAGUUGCCAGCAUUCAGUUGGGCACUCUAGCGAGACCGCCGGUGAUAAACCGGAGGAAGGUGUGGAUGACGUCAAGUCAUCAUGCCCCUUACAUCCUGGGCUACACACGUACUACAAUGCUACGGACAAAGGGCAGCAAACUCGCGAGAGCUAGCAAAUCCCAUAAACCGUGGCUCAGUUCAGAUCGUAGGCUGCAACUCGCCUACGUGAAGGAGGAAUCGCUAGUAAUCGCAGGUCAGCAUACUGCGGUGAAUACGUUCCCGGGCCUUGUACACACCGCCCGUCACACCAUGGAAGUUGGCCACGCCCGAAGUCGUUACUCCAACCCUUGUGGAGGAGGACGCCGAAGGUGGGGCUGAUGACUGGGGUGAAGUCGUAACAAGGUAGCCGUACCGGAAGGUGCGGCUGGAUCACCUCCUAACAGGGAGACAACAACUGACAUGGAUGCCUAGGCAAAUUUGAUCCGAGGCCCGUGUCCUGUCAUCUCGAAGGUCGAUCGGUACCUCAACUUGAAAGCCAAGAGCAUCUGGAAACAGGCUGUUGUUUGGAGAUCAAGGUUCAGUUCCUAAACUUUGUCUAGGUCACCCCAAAGGGAUGGCAGAGAGUAAGCAAGCGGCUUUGCCCAGCGCAUGGCCACGGUCACUGCGAGCAGCAGGGCUGGAUCGCUUGCUGAUCUGCUGUGACUCAUGAGGCAGCAACAACUCCUGGGCCAUUAGCUCAGGUGGUUAGAGCGCACCCCUGAUAAGGGUGAGGUCCCUGGUUCAAGUCCAGGAUGGCCCAUUCGUGUUUGGGGGUUUAGCUCAGUUGGUAGAGCGCCUGCUUUGCAAGCGGGAUGUCAGCGGUUCGAGUCCGCUAACCUCCACUCAACGGCACCCUCAGGCAGGACAAGGAUGUUGUUCUGUGGGAUGAUCUGGAUUCGGUGCAAGCUGAACGGGCCAGAGGGCUCGAUGAUUUCAGCCUCCAAUCAUGCCGAAAUAUCUGCGCAAAUCAGCAACAAGCGUGCUUGUUGUCAACUGGCGUAUCGAUUGAAAUGGUUGAUUGGAUGCGGAACUCAAGGGUAGACCGCAUGGUCUGCCACUGUGUUCAGCCAGAACCUUGACAACUGCAUAGGUGAGUCUGGAAAGAAAGCAUCUCAUGGAUGCCGGCUACCAUCCUUGGUAGGCGGUUUUUUCUAUGACGUUAAGAGCCGAGCACGGCAACCGUCUUGCCCCUCGCCGAGAGGCGGUGAGUCAGACC